rnacentral:rRNA from 1 species
GGUUGCGAUCAUACCAGCACUAAUGCACCGGAUCCCAUCAGAACUCCGCAGUUAAGCGUGCUUGGGCGAGAGUAGUAUUAGGAUGGGUGACCCCUUGGGAAGUCCUCGUGUUGCAACAC